rnacentral:rRNA from 1 species
CGGUACGUACUGGCAUUGUUGGUUUCUCCCUUCUGACGAACCAUGAUGUCAUUUAUUUGGUGUUGUGGGGAAUCAGGACUGUUACUUUGAAAAAAUUAGAGUGUUUAAAGCAGGCUCACGCUUGAAUACGUUAGCAUGGAAUAAUGAAAUAGGACGUUUGAUUCUAUUUUGUUGGUUUCUAGGAUCGACGUAAUGAUUAAUAGGGAUAGUUGGGGGCAUUAGUAUUCAAUUGUCAGAGGUGAAACUCUUGGAUUUAUUGAAGACUAACUACUGCGAAAGCAUUUGCCGAGGAUGUUUUCAUUAAUCAAGAACGAAAGUUAGGGGAUCGAAGACGACCAGAUACCGUCGUAGUCUUAACCAUAAACUAUGCCGACUAGGGAUCGGAUGAUGUUAAUUUUUUAAUGACUCAUUCGGCGCCUUACG